GCUGGUGGGCGUGGCCUAGCGCAGCUCCGCCGGGCAAGGGGGUGGCCUCCUUGCCAAUCAGAGCUAAGACGGCCGGAGAGGCGGGACCUGGGCGAAGCGCUGGCGCCCCCAAGUGGGUGUGGUCACGCUGCCCAACAGUGGGCGGUGAUUGGCUCUGGGCGGUGCAAUCGCGGCUUGUGCGUCACGACGCCGCCAGCUGAUCGGAGACUGGAGCCGGUGUGUGCUGGGCGCAGGGAAGACACAGCGCCGCCGGCCGUGGGGGAUGGACGCACUGAUUUGCUCCCUUACCCUCAGCAACCCCCCGCACCCAGGACCAGUGUCUCCCUCCAGCCCUGGGUAUGUGGCUCUGCCAUCCUCACCCAUCAUGAAGCAAAGAUGAGGAAGAGCAGCCUGGGAACGCAGGCAGGCAGAAGACCAGUGAAGGACCAGGCCUGGAGAACACAGGGCCCUGUCUGGGCACCCCACAGAGGGGACCCAUAAAGGCCAGGAGCACUCCAGGAGGGAGGACAGCCAGCCUCCAUCAAGGACAAGCUCCCAGCCUUCUGCUUCAUUCACUAUUUCUCUCCAGUGUUACUUACUGCCUCCCUCAGAGAUAUGAGACUGUAUUAAAGUGUCCUGUGGCUUCAUCCACCUACUACUACCUUCCUACCCUGUAGUUUUUGUUUUUGUUUUUGUUUUGUUUUGUUUUUUUACCCUGUAGUUUUUAUAUAAAGCAGCCUCAAGGAGCAAGAACCAGCUGUGAAAGGACAUACACAGGAAAUGCAUAGAAGAAAUUCAAAUGGAUAAAACCAUGAAAAACAAUGUGUUUCAUUAGGUAAUUAAAGAAAGAAAAAUAUAGCUGAAAGCAUUUUUUCCUUAGCAAAUUAUAUUUUUUUAAAAGAAAAGCCCAGUAUUGGCAAAGAAGUACUAAAAUAAGACUCCUAUACAUUGCAUAUCGGCAUGCAAAUUGUUAUGGCCUUCCUGGAUGUCAGUUUGGUAAUAUGUCUCAAACACUCUAAUAAAAGUUUCCAUCGCCUUUGACCUAGUAAUUCU
rnacentral:lncRNA from 12 species